GAGCAGCGGGCGGCGGGAGAGGUCAAUGCAGCCAGAGAACAAGCCCUCCAACUACUGCACAAUAUACUAAAUUUCAGUUUUCACAAGAGUUUACAUCUGGCUUAAUGAAUACUAAGAGAUAUCAGCUGUAGGAAAUUUUAUGGAACAUCCAUGGAGCUGCUAAGCCACCCCACAAAAUUUCUCCUUUUCUUUAUGGGUAAGACAUUAAACACACUUGCCUGCUGGGCAUUUA